rnacentral:rRNA from 1 species
UACAGAGGUGGCAAGCGUUGUUCGGAGUUACUGGGCGUAAAGCGUGCGUAGGCGGUUUUGUAAGUUUGGUGUGAAAUCUCCCGGCUCAACUGGGAGGGUGCGCCGAAAACUGCAAGGCUGGAGUGUGGGAGAGGUAGGCGGAAUUCCUGGUGUAGCGGUGAAAUGCGUAGAUAUCAGGAGGAACACCUGUGGUGUAGACGGCUUACUGGACCAUGACUGACGCUGAGGCACGAAAGCGUGGGGAGCAAACAGG